UGGGAACUGCGUUNUGAACUGGGUGACUAGAGUGUGUCAGAGGGAGGUAGAAUUCCACGUGUAGCAGUGAAAUGCGUAGAGAUGUGGAGGAAUACCGAUGGCGAAGGCAGCNUCCUGGGAUAACACUGACGUUCAUGCCCGAAAGCGUGGGUAGCAAACAGGAUUAGAUACCCUGGUAGUCCACGCCCUAAACGAUGUCGAUUAGCUGUUGGGCAGCAUGACUGCUUAGUAGCGAAGCUAACGCGUGAAAUCGACCGCCUGGGAGUACGGUCGCAAGAUUAAAACUCAAAGGAAUUGACGGGGACCCGCACAAGCGGUGGAUGAUGUGGAUUAAUUCGAUGCAACGCGAAGAACCUUACCUGGUCUUGACAUGUACGGAACCCUCCAGAGACGGAGGGGUGCCUUCGGGAGCCGUAACACAGGUGCUGCAUGGCUGUCGUCAGCUCGUGUCGUGAGAUGUUAGGUUAAGUCCCGCAACGAGCGCAACCCUUGUCAUUAGUUGCCAUCAUUAAGUUGGGCACUCUAAUGAGACUGCCGGUGACAAGCCGGAGGAAGGUGGGGAUGACGUCAAGUCCUCAUGGCCCUUAUGACCAGGGCUUCACACGUCAUACAAUGGUCGGUACAGAGGGUAGCCAAGCCGCGAGGUGGAGCCAAUCUCACAAAACCGAUCGUAGUCCGGAUUGCACUCUGCAACUCGAGUGCAUGAAGUCGGAAUCGCUAGUAAUCGCAGGUCAGCAUACUGCGGUGAAUACGUUCCCGGGUCUUGUACACACCGCCCGUCACACCAUGGGAGUGGGGGAUACCAGAAGUAGGUAGGGUAACCGCAAGGAGCCCGCUUACCACGGUAU
rnacentral:rRNA from 1 species